rnacentral:rRNA from 1 species
AUUGAACGCUGGCGGCAUGCCUUACACAUGCAAGUCGAACGGCAGCACGGGAGCAAUCCUGGUGGCGAGUGGCGAACGGGUGAGUAAUAUAUCGGAACGUGCCCAGUCGUGGGGGAUAACGUAGCGAAAGCUACGCUAAUACCGCAUACGAUCUAUGGAUGAAAGCGGGGGAUCGCAAGACCUCGCGCGAUUGGAGCGGCCGAUAUCAGAUUAGGUAGUUGGUGAGGUAAAGGCUCACCAAGCCGACGAUCUGUAGCUGGUCUGAGAGGACGACCAGCCACACUGGGACUGAGACACGGCCCAGACUCCUACGGGAGGCAGCAGUGGGGAAUUUUGGGCAAUGGGGGAAACCCUGAUCCAGCAAUGCGCGUGAGUGAAGAAGGCCUCGGUUGUAAG